rnacentral:lncRNA from 1 species
AUGACUUGUUGUGCCACCCAGAUUUGGUUCCCCCCGUGCAGUUUUCCCCAGACAAACGUUCCUCUUCCACACGAGAACAACAUUUCAGUGAAAUUAUGUCAAAUUCAGCGGUAUUUCGCGUUAAAAAGUAGAUUCCAUUUUAAUCUGCCAAUUCCGCGAUUCCGUCCGCGAUUCCGUGAUCGCGGAAAUCAUAGGGCCCUAAGGACACUCACACACUGUGUAAGGACACUUCCAUACUGUGUGAGGACACUCAGACACUGUGUAAGGACACUUCCAUACUGUGUAAGGACACUCUCACAUUGUGUAAGGACACUUCCAUACUGUGUAAGGACACUCUCACACUGUGUAAGGACACUUCCAUACUGUGUAAGGACACUCUCACACUGUGUAAGGACACUUCCAUACUGUGUAAGGACACUCUCACACUGUGUAAGGACACUUCCAUACUGUGUGAGGACACUCACACACUAUGUAAGGACAUUUCCAUACUGUGUGAGGACACUCACACACUGUGUAAGGACAUUUCCAUACUGUGUAAGGAGACUCACACACUGUGUAAGGACACUCACACACUGUGUAAGGACAUUUCCAUACUGUGUAAGGAGACUCACACACUGUGUAAGGACACUCACACACUGUGUAAGGACACUCACACACUGUGUAAGGACAUUUCCAUACUGUGUGAGGACACUCACACACUGUGUAAGGACACUCACACACUGUGUAAGGACAUUUCCAUACUGUGUGAGGACACUCACACACUGUGUAAGGACACUCACACACUGUGUAAGGACAUUUCCAUACUGUGUGAGGACACUCACACACUGUGUAAGGACAUUUCCAUACUGUGUAAGGAGACUCACACACUGUGUAAGGACACUCACACACUGUGUAAGGACAUUUCCAUACUGUGUAAGGAGACUCACACACUGUGUAAGGACACUCACACACUGUGUAAGGACACUUCCAUACUGUGUGAGGACACUCACACACUGUGUGAGGACACUUCCAUACUGUGUGAGGACACUCUCACACUGUGUAAGGACACUUCCAUACUGUGUGAGGACACUCUCACACUGUGUAAGGACACUUCCAUACUGUGUAAGGACACUCUCACACUGUGUAAGGACACUUCCAUACUGUGUGAGGACACUCACACACUAUGUAAGGACAUUUCCAUACUGUGUGAGGACACUCACACACUGUGUAAGGACAUUUCCAUACUGUGUAAGGAGACUCACACACUGUGUAAGGACACUCACACACUGUGUAAGGACAUUUCCAUACUGUGUAAGGAGACUCACACACUGUGUAAGGACACUCACACACUGUGUAAGGACACUCACACACUGUGUAAGGACAUUUCCAUACUGUGUGAGGACACUCACACACUGUGUAAGGACAUUUCCAUACUGUGUAAGGAGACUCACACACUGUGUAAGGACACUCACACACUGUGUAAGGACAUUUCCAUACUGUGUAAGGAGACUCACACACUGUGUAAGGACACUCACACACUGUGUAAGGACACUUCCAUACUGUGUGAGGACACUCACACACUGUGUGAGGACACUCUCACGCCAUGUAAGGACACUUCCAUACUGUGUGAGGACACUCUCACACUGUGUAAGGACACUUCCAUACUGUGUGAGGACACUCUCACACUGUGUAAGGACACUUCCAUAA